GGCAAAAUAGGCUUGAAUCCGGAGAUAUUUUGACUGGAUAUGUUUUAUGACACGCGGCAUAUUCGGACCAGAUUUCGACCAUUUCCCGACUUUUCAAGAAUCCGUGAAAAUCUUGGCAUAUUUUGACUCCGGAAUUGUGUUUGGUGAAUACGGAGAUAUUUUGACUGGAUACCGGUAUUUUGAAUGACGUGUGCUGCCAAUCGCAUUGAAUAGAAUGUUGGCCCUCCCUCUGCCGUUAUGAUUAUGAAGCUCUGCGCGGCAGCCCGCCGCUUCCUAUCUGGAUUUCUGUCGUACGUUAGUCGGCAGCAUCUUUAUCACAGACUUUCCAGAAAUCUGUCGCAGACUUGUUAAGCCAUCAAAAAACCGUAUUUAGUUCUAGCUCUAGGCUAUGGGACUAUGAGGACUCCGAGACGGUGUCCAAGUGAGAUGGCUGGCGAGGUUGAUGGACCAGACUUUAAGACAUUCUGAGCUCCAUGAAUGUCAUGAGACACUCCAGGAGACGGUGGUUGCAAUGCAUUAUCAACACCCCGCAACCCCAACCCUCCAAUGGAACCCAGAACCCUCCGGAGUUCCUCAGGACCUGUCGGCAUGAGUGAGGCGAACACAUCGUGCGUUGGAGGAAGAGUUGCAGUGACGACUUGGACCACAGGCCAGAAACCUGAAAUAGAUUCUUUGAGAAUCUUAAAAGUCAAACAACUGGGCCUUGCGGGGAAGACUGAUGACGUGAGAAAAAAAGGAAAAAUUUGAUGAGCGGUGGUGCUGGUGGCGCAGGAUGUCCUGGAGGAGGACGACCUCGACUACCUCAAAGGAGCUGAUGCUAGCCUUGUGCCUGAUGGGGAAACAAGUGCACAUUUGUUGUGCUCUGUCUGAGAUGGAGAAGUGUGCGCCUUGCUGGCGUACUUCAAUUGAUGCCUGCAAGCCCAGCCAGCGAGUGACCGAUAGUGGCCGGUUCUCCCUUCGUUACCCCCCUCCCCCCCCUUCUGCGGC